rnacentral:rRNA from 1 species
AGAGUUUGAUCCUGGCUCAGGAUGAACGCUAGCGGCAGGCUUAACACAUGCAAGUCGAGGGGCAGCGCGUCUGUAGCAAUACGGAUGGCGGCGACCGGCGCAAGGGUGCGUAACGCGUGAGCAACAUGCCCGUGUCAGGGGGAUAAGCGAUGGAAACGUCGUCUAAUACCGCAUAACAACGGAUGGGACAUCCCAACCGUUUGAAAGAUUCGUCGGACACGGAUUGGCUCGCGAGACAUUAGCUAGUCGGCGGGGUAACGGCCCACCGAGGCAACGAUGUCUAGGGGUUCUGAGAGGAAGGUCCCCCACAUUGGUACUGAGACACGGACCAAACUCCUACGGGAGGCAGCAGUGAGGAAUAUUGGUCAAUGGGCGGAAGCCUGAACCAGCCAAGUCGCGUGAAGGAAGACGGUAUUAUGUAUUGUAAACUUCUUUAGCAGGGGAGCAAUAAUCGCCACGCGUGGUGAGAUGAGAGUAUCCUGAGAAUAAGCAUCGGCUAACUCCGUGCCAGCAGCCGCGGUAAUACGGAGGAUGCGAGCGUUAUCCGGAUUUAUUGGGUUUAAAGGGUGCGCAGGCGGUCAAUUAAGUCAGUGGUCAAAUGGUGAGGCUCAACCUCAUUCCGCCAUUGAUACUGGUUGACUUGAUUUCGGUUGAGGUAGGCGGAAUUCGCCGUGUAGCGGUGAAAUGCAUAGAUAUGGCGAAGAACUCCGAUUGCGUAGGCAGCUUACCAAGCCGACAAUGACGCUCAUGCACGAAAGUGCGGGGAUCGAACAGGAUUAGAUACCCUGGUAGUCCGCACAGUAAACGAUGAAUACUUGUUUUCGGCGAUAUAAUGUCCGAGGCAAAGCGAAAGCGAUA